rnacentral:rRNA from 1 species
GACGAACGCUGGCGGCGUGCUUAACACAUGCAAGUCGAGCGGAGCGGCGAACGGGUGAGUAACGCGUGAGUAAAUGCCCCCCUCUCUGGGAUAACAGUUGGAAACGUCUGCUAAUACCGGAUAGUGGGGGUUGACUCGAGUCCUAUCAGAUUGUUGGUGGGGUAGUGGCGGACAAAGGCGACGACGGGUAGACUGCCUGAGAGGGCGACCGGCCACAUUGGGCUGAGAGACGGGCCGAACGGCUACGGGAGGCAGGAGUGUGGGAUAUGGCACGAUGUGGGAAACCCGGAUGCAGGAACGUCGCGUGCGGGAUGACGGCCUGCGGGUUGUAAACCGCUGUCAGCCAUGACGCGGUAGUGGCAGAAGAAGCACCGGCUAACUACGUGCCAGCAGCCGCGGUAAUUC